GGUUAAGCGACUAAGCGUACACGGUGGAUGCCCUGGCAGUCAGAGGCGAUGAAGGACGUGCUAAUCUGCGAUAAGCGUCGGUAAGGUGAUAUGAACCGUUAUAACCGGCGAUUUCCGAAUGGGGAAACCCAGUGUGAUUCGUCACACUAUCAUUAACUGAAUCCAUAGGUUAAUGAGGCGAACCGGGGGAACUGAAACAUCUAAGUACCCCGAGGAAAAGAAAUCAACCGAGAUUCCCCCAGUAGCGGCGAGCGAACGGGGAGCAGCCCAGAGCCUGAAUCAGUGUGUGUGUUAGUGGAAGCGUCUGGAAAGGCGCGCGAUACAGGGUGACAGCCCCGUACACAAAAAUGCACAUGCUGUGAGCUCGAUGAGUAGGGCGGGACACGUGGUAUCCUGUCUGAAUAUGGGGGGACCAUCCUCCAAGGCUAAAUACUCCUGACUGACCGAUAGUGAACCAGUACCGUGAGGGAAAGGCGAAAAGAACCCCGGCGAGGGGAGUGAAAAAGAACCUGAAACCGUGUACGUACAAGCAGUGGGAGCACGCUUAGGCGUGUGACUGCGUACCUUUUGUAUAAUGGGUCAGCGACUUAUAUUCUGUAGCAAGGUUAACCGAAUAGGGGAGCCGAAGGGAAACCGAGUCUUAACUGGGCGUUAAGUUGCAGGGUAUAGACCCGAAACCCGGUGAUCUAGCCAUGGGCAGGUUGAAGGUUGGGUAACACUAACUGGAGGACCGAACCGACUAAUGUUGAAAAAUUAGCGGAUGACUUGUGGCUGGGGGUGAAAGGCCAAUCAAACCGGGAGAUAGCUGGUUCUCCCCGAAAGCUAUUUAGGUAGCGCCUCGUGAAUUCAUCUCCGGGGGUAGAGCACUGUUUCGGCAAGGGGGUCAUCCCGACUUACCAACCCGAUGCAAACUGCGAAUACCGGAGAAUGUUAUCACGGGAGACACACGGCGGGUGCUAACGUCCGUCGUGAAGAGGGAAACAACCCAGACCGCCAGCUAAGGUCCCAAAGUCAUGGUUAAGUGGGAAACGAUGUGGGAAGGCCCAGACAGCCAGGAUGUUGGCUUAGAAGCAGCCAUCAUUUAAAGAAAGCGUAAUAGCUCACUGGUCGAGUCGGCCUGCGCGGAAGAUGUAACGGGGCUAAACCAUGCACCGAAGCUGCGGCAGCGACGCUGAUGCGUUGUUGGGUAGGGGAGCGUUCUGUAAGCCUGUGAAGGUGUACUGUGAGGUAUGCUGGAGGUAUCAGAAGUGCGAAUGCUGACAUAAGUAACGAUAAAGCGGGUGAAAAGCCCGCUCGCCGGAAGACCAAGGGUUCCUGUCCAACGUUAAUCGGGGCAGGGUGAGUCGACCCCUAAGGCGAGGCCGAAAGGCGUAGUCGAUGGGAAACAGGUUAAUAUUCCUGUACUUGGUGUUACUGCGAAGGGGGGACGGAGAAGGCUAUGUUGGCCGGGCGACGGUUGUCCCGGUUUAAGCGUGUAGGCUGGUUUUCCAGGCAAAUCCGGAAAAUCAAGGCUGAGGCGUGAUGACGAGGCACUACGGUGCUGAAGCAACAAAUGCCCUGCUUCCAGGAAAAGCCUCUAAGCAUCAGGUAACAUCAAAUCGUACCCCAAACCGACACAGGUGGUCAGGUAGAGAAUACCAAGGCGCUUGAGAGAACUCGGGUGAAGGAACUAGGCAAAAUGGUGCCGUAACUUCGGGAGAAGGCACGCUGAUAUGUAGGUGAAGUCCCUCGCGGAUGGAGCUGAAAUCAGUCGAAGAUACCAGCUGGCUGCAACUGUUUAUUAAAAACACAGCACUGUGCAAACACGAAAGUGGACGUAUACGGUGUGACGCCUGCCCGGUGCCGGAAGGUUAAUUGAUGGGGUUAGCGCAAGCGAAGCUCUUGAUCGAAGCCCCGGUAAACGGCGGCCGUAACUAUAACGGUCCUAAGGUAGCGAAAUUCCUUGUCGGGUAAGUUCCGACCUGCACGAAUGGCGUAAUGAUGGCCAGGCUGUCUCCACCCGAGACUCAGUGAAAUUGAACUCGCUGUGAAGAUGCAGUGUACCCGCGGCAAGACGGAAAGACCCCGUGAACCUUUACUAUAGCUUGACACUGAACAUUGAGCCUUGAUGUGUAGGAUAGGUGGGAGGCUUUGAAGUGUGGACGCCAGUCUGCAUGGAGCCGACCUUGAAAUACCACCCUUUAAUGUUUGAUGUUCUAACGUUGACCCGUAAUCCGGGUUGCGGACAGUGUCUGGUGGGUAGUUUGACUGGGGCGGUCUCCUCCUAAAGAGUAACGGAGGAGCACGAAGGUUGGCUAAUCCUGGUCGGACAUCAGGAGGUUAGUGCAAUGGCAUAAGCCAGCUUGACUGCGAGCGUGACGGCGCGAGCAGGUGCGAAAGCAGGUCAUAGUGAUCCGGUGGUUCUGAAUGGAAGGGCCAUCGCUCAACGGAUAAAAGGUACUCCGGGGAUAACAGGCUGAUACCGCCCAAGAGUUCAUAUCGACGGCGGUGUUUGGCACCUCGAUGUCGGCUCAUCACAUCCUGGGGCUGAAGUAGGUCCCAAGGGUAUGGCUGUUCGCCAUUUAAAGUGGUACGCGAGCUGGGUUUAGAACGUCGUGAGACAGUUCGGUCCCUAUCUGCCGUGGGCGCUGGAGAACUGAGGGGGGCUGCUCCUAGUACGAGAGGACCGGAGUGGACGCAUCACUGGUGUUCGGGUUGUCAUGCCAAUGGCACUGCCCGGUAGCUAAAUGCGGAAGAGAUAAGUGCUGAAAGCAUCUAAGCACGAAACUUGCCCCGAGAUGAGUUCUCCCUGACCCUUUAAGGGUCCUGAAGGAACGUUGAAGACGACGACGUUGAUAGGCCGGGUGUGUAAGCGCAGCGAUGCGUUGAGCUAACCGGUACUAAUGAACCGUGAGGCUUAACCUU
rnacentral:rRNA from 1 species